CCCCCCCCCCCCCCACGCUAGUAGGACGCCGCAGUUGUUCCCCAACCACCCCCGCAAGCCGCAAUCCACACGUUCUCUCUCGCUCUUCUGGAGACACGGUAAGCCUCUCUCUUUAAUUGAUAAUCAAUUCAUAUAUUAUGCGUAAUCCUAAUGAAUUCAUAUAUUAUGUGUAAUCCUUUGUAAAUUCUUUUAGUUACUGCUAUUAGUAUAUUAUCAUGAAACUUUCGAGGUGUCUAUGUGUAAUCCUAAUGACUACAAUAUAUACACAAUAAAUUGCUUUUUAUUGUUAGAGGUGUCUAUGCGUAAGUGCAUGUGCUCUAAUUUGCCCUUUUUUUACACCUCUACUAAAUUUUUGUCUCUUUGGUUUGCUUGGUGUAUGCAACUUAUGGUAUGCCUGUGGCAGGUCUACGGGUUACCACAAAUAGGGGGAUUACCUCAAAAAUGGGUCUAGGGGCUUGUUUGUUGAUCUCAAAGCUGAUGUUCUGCUUUUCAAGUUGCUCUCAAAGCUGAUGUUCUGCUUAGUACUUCUGCUCCAAAAAAUAUCAUUUUGUAUGAUAUCAUUCGGUAACUGAGUUGAAAAACUUCCAACUUAAGCACGCAUGCAUGGGAUAUGUAUCCAAUUAGUAAUAUUUGUGCACCUAUAUAUGUUAAGAAACGAUUUGUAUAAAGUAGUUCAUGCUUAAAACCCAUUUGUUAUUUUAAUAUGGCUUAAAAUGGCUUUGUCAUCAAACUAAGCAUUGAAUCAAAUCUGCACAUGGUUUUAAGUAUAGUUUUUGUGUUGGCAAGUGGAGUAUAAAUAAGACUAAACCAACUUCUAUAAUAUAUUUGCUCAAAUAUGUUCAUGUACUUCUUAAUAACGAUGUCAGGCGGGGGUUUUUGGAUGGUUUUUCAAAGUCUCUAGCAUGCAAGGAAUUCUGGGGAUGAAAGACUAGAAGAAAUAUUUUUUGAAAAUUUCUAGAUAACUUUAGAAAAUCUCUGUCAACUAAGGAACUCUAAGACAAAGUCCAGAACAAACUUUUUUUUUUUAAGUUGUGGUUGUGAAGGUUUAGUAUUGUUAACUCCUAAUAGCUUUUGGUGUUAUGACUGGGAAGGAGUUUUUGGAUUUAAAUCUUUCAGUGCAAAUCAUUUCUAGGGUCGUUGAGUCUGUGUCAAACAUUUCUUUUUUUCCUGACUAUUAAGUUUUAAUUUUUUUUCUCAGGUGGGGUUGGUCUUGCGGGUUGCUUGGAUUGGCCCUCCCAUGUUUUGGCCUCUGAUUUUCUUCCCGGCAAAAGUUUGAUGAUGAGUGAGUGACAAAAGAAGAUGGAAAGAGGGCAUUAAAGGAGCAACAUGGGUGAGGAAGAGGAACUUGAUCAGUGUUAUGAUGAUGUUUGGGAAAAUUCGAACGACUAUGCUCAUCACAAGAAGAUAGAGGAAAACGGCAGGGUUUACAUGUUUUUAGCUGGCCUUAAUCGAAGUUUGGACAAAGCUCGCAGCCGCAUUCUCGGCAGGCAACCAUUGCCCUCUCUUCGGGAAGUUUUUUCUGAAGUUAGACGUGAGGAGUCAAGGGGAAAAAUCAUGCUGCGCAAUACAGAAACUGGUUUAAACCUGGAACCUGAGAAUUCUGCUCGUGUCAAGAAGUGUUGAUUCUGAAAAUGACGGGCGUAAUAAACCGUGGUGCGAGCAUUGCAAAAAUCGUGGCAUAGGAAGGAGAUGUGUUGGAAACUUCAUGGUAAACCAGCAAACUGGAAGCCAAAACCAAAUGUGAUGGUUGCACCUACCAAACCACUGCUGAAGAGCUUCAGGAGCUUUCUACCAACUCAGAUGCAGUACCUUUUACCAAGGAGCAAUUAGAGCACCUGUACAAAUUGUUUCAAUCUCCAAAACUGUCCCUAACUCCGUCUUGUUCUUUGGUACAGAAGGGUAACCCUCUUGCUAAUGCAUUUUUAGGUGUUAUUCCUAACUCUGUUUAUUCUUGGAUAAUUGAUUCCAGCGCAACUGAUCAUAUGACCAGUUGCUCCGAAUUGUUCUCAUCCUAUAGUCCGUGUGCAGGCAAUAAAUGGGUCAAAAUUGCAGAUGGUUCGCUCUCGGUAAUUGCUGGGACAGGAACUAUCAAACUCACUUCGUUGUUAACCCUUGAUGAUGUGCUCCAUGUUCCCAAUUUGUCUUGCAAUUUGUUGUCCAUCAGUAAAAUUACCUCUGAUCAUCAGUGUCAAGCUAAUUUCUACUCUUCUUAUUGUGAAUUUCAGGAAUUGACCACAGGGAGGAUGAUUGGCAGUGCUAAGGAAAAAGAUGGACUCUAUUAUUUUGAAGAUGGACCGAACUCGAGUAGACAAUGUCAAAGUACUUGCUUAAAUUCAGUUUCUGUUUCCAAAGAUAAUGAUAUUAUGUUAUGGCAUUAUAGGUUAGGCCAUCCUAGUCUUCAGUAUUUAAAACACUUGUUUCCCAAUUUACUUUGGA